UUGGGAAUAUUGCGCAAUGGAGGAAACUCUGACGCAGCGACGCCGCGUGAGCGAAGAAGGUCUUCGGAUUGUAAAGCUCUGUCGAAUGGGAAGAACGCAUAGAUAGUUAACUGCUAUCAGUGUUGACGGUACCAUUGGAGGAAGCACCGGCUAACUCUGUGCCGGCAGCCGCGGUAAUACAGAGGGUGCAAGCGUUGUUCGGAAUCACUGGGCGUAAAGAGUUCGUAGGCGGACUUGAUAGUAUGAGGUUAAAGACCAGGGCCUAACCCUGGGACUGCUUCAUAAACGUCAAGUCUGGAGUAUUGGAGAGGAUAGCGGAAUUCCUGGUGUAGAGGUGAAAUUCGUAGAUAUCAGGAGGAACAUCUGAGGCGAAGGCGGCUAUCUGGACAAGUACUGACGCUAAAGAACGAAAGCAUGGGGAUCAAACAGG
rnacentral:rRNA from 1 species